AUCCUAAAACUAGCAACAGAAAAAUAAAGAAGGUGGCUGAAAAAUAAUAAAGAGUGGAAGCUAAAUGCUAAAGCUAACACACACAGGAUUAUGGGAUCUUGAGUUUGGAAACCCACAGGAAACAUGUCCAGCGGGAGAAAUCACUGUUAUAAGGAUUUUACUGCUCAUAAUGUCCUCUUUGUUUGUGUGUUUGGAGCACCAGCUGACAAGGAAGACACAUCCUUCUGUACUGUCCGUCCAUAGUCCAGAGCGUUUAUUUAAACACUAAUUGUGAGAGCGACCCACAGUGGGAUUUCCAUCUGCCCAGUCCACCACCUGCGAAACCUGCUGCAAAAACCACGGCAGCAGGUAUCACCGACUGAAGGGUCUAGAGCCAGCAUGGAGCGAGGCCUUUGGGAACUCCUCCUUUGGAGAGUUACCUUCAAGGCCCCUCCAAUUCCAACCAACUCCUCCACCUGAGCCUCUGCCUGUCACUACUGUUCCAGUGUUGAUGAAUAAGCUGACGGCCUACAACUCACCAGGUAGCAGAAUACCAGUACUGGACAGGCAGAGGAACCUGAGGCCAGUCCAAGCUGUGGGGCAGCCUACUAAUAACAUGGCUGCCCAUAGCAAGGAGGACAAAGAAGGUCAGGUGGAGCGAGUACGCAGGAAGAAGCCCAUCACCAUCAGGGCAGCUCCUCAGGCUGUUGGGAAAAGUCAGGGAGUGGAGCAGCCACUGGUGCCACCAUCCCUGACCAGCGAGGAUCCCCUCAACAGGCCUGAGGAAGCUCUCGGCCAGGCACUGUGCUUCCUGCAGGAUGAGGAAUGGGAAAGGAAAACCGAGGGACUGAGGCUUGUGCGAGCUCUGGCUGAACACCAAGCUGAUGUGGUGCUGCCAGAGCUCCACUACAUCACCACAGCCGUCAUCGCGGAGGUUAAAAACCUCCGCAGCAUAGUCUCUCGGGACGCCAUCACCACCAUGGCGCACCUGUUCACUCACCUGCAGCGGCAAAUGGACAGUGAGGUAGAGGGCGCUGCUCGCACCCUCCUUCACAAGGCUGGGGAAACCAGCCUGUUUAUAAGGCAGGGUGUGGAGCUAGCCCUCGGCACUUUAGUGCACCACUGUUCACCUGGCCGAGUCCUGCAAGGAUAGCUGGCUGGUGGACUGAGGCACAGAAACCCAGUCUGCAGGGCCGCCACCUCACGGAGUCUCUACAUGCUCCUGCAGGUAGUUGGGAUUUCCAGUGUGCUGACUGGGAGGAAGACGUUUGCUAGUGAAAUCAUUCCUGCUGUUAGCACACUGGCUUUCGACACAGCCCAGGAAGUGAGGACCCAUGCCCGAGCCGCUUUGAGGUAUCUGGGCAGCAAUAAGAAGGCUGAGAGCACUGUGGAGAAAUUUGUAAAUUUUAAAGAUCAAUCAGCAGUAAAGCAGUUGCUUCUUAAAUAAUCAGUCUUUUAUUUCUUGUCUGUAGUUGAGAUGUGUUCAGCUGUUCAGGAACCACAUCUGAAGAGGUGGAUGAGGCAGCAGCUCCACCUUUCUCUUGCCAGAAGCUCUUUCUUAGAGUCCUGGUAAGUGAGGUAACCCAGUUUCUGGGCUCCUCUAGGGAGGUGGGGUCUCUGUUUGGUGGGAAACGCACCGGCAAACCUGUGGCAUCGGGGCUUCCUGGUCAACCAGCUGGGAAUGUCCAGCCCCAAACAAGCCCUUAAAAGCUUGUGAGGGGUUCACCCAGGGCCGUGGUGUCACCCAAUCCCCCCUUCAGACGUACAGGUCCCGUCUCCUUCACUGAGACCGGUUCUAACUCUGUCGACUUCUCUGGAACAACGCAUUUCACACCAAACCCACUCUGAACAACCGAAUACCGAAUACAUAUCAACCACAAUGAAAAAAAUGACCAAAAUUUACACAACUUUAACUUGGUUUCAAGACUUAAAUGUUACGUAGAGUAAAUAAGUGGCCUGAACCUUUCUUUUAGUGAACUUAACUUAAUUUCUGCAUACAAUAUUACCUAAUU